rnacentral:rRNA from 1 species
GAUGAACGCUGGCGGCGUGCCUAAUACAUGCAAGUCGAGCGAACGGACGAGAAGCUUGCUUCUCUGAUGUUAGCGGCGGACGGGUGAGUAACACGUGGAUAACCUACCUAUAAGACUGGGAUAACUUCGGGAAACCGGAGCUAAUACCGGAUAAUAUUUUGAACCGCAUGGUUCAAAAGUGAAAGACGGUCUUGCUGUCACUUAUAGAUGGAUCCGCGCUGCAUUAGCUAGUUGGUAAGGUAACGGCUUACCAAGGCAACGAUGCAUAGCCGACCUGAGAGGGUGAUCGGCCACACUGGAACUGAGACACGGUCCAGACUCCUACGGGAGGCAGCAGUAGGGAAUCUUCCGCAAUGGGCGAAAGCCUGACGGAGCAACGCCGCGUGAGUGAUGAAGGUCUUCGGAUCGUAAACCCUGUUAUUAGGGAAGAACAUAUGUGUAAGUAACUGUGCACAUCUUGACGGUACCUAAUCAGAAAGCCACGGCUAACUACGUGCCAGCAGCCGCGGUAGUACGUAGGUGGCAAGCGUUAUCCGGAAUUAUUGGGCGUAAAGCGCGCGUAGGCGGUUUUUUAAGUCUGAUGUGAAAGCCCACGGCUCAACCGUGGAGGGUCAUUGGAAACUGGAAAACUUGAGUGCAGAAGAGGAAAGUGGAAUUCCAUGUGUAGCGGUGAAAUGCGCAGAGAUAUGGAGGAACACCAGUGGCGAAGGCGACUUUCUGGUCUGUAACUGACGCUGAUGUGCGAAAGCGUGGGGAUCAAACAGGAUUAGAUACCCUGGUAGUCCACGCCGUAAACGAUGAGUGCUAAGUGUUAGGGGGUUUCCGCCCCUUAGUGCUGCAGCUAACGCAUUAAGCACUCCGCCUGGGGAGUACGACCGCAAGGUUGAAACUCAAAGGAAUUGACGGGGACCCGCACAAGCGGUGGAGCAUGUGGUUUAAUUCGAAGCAACGCGAAGAACCUUACCAAAUCUUGACAUCCUUUGACAACUCUAGAGAUAGAGCCUUCCCCUUCGGGGGACAAAGUGACAGGUGGUGCAUGGUUGUCGUCAGCUCGUGUCGUGAGAUGUUGGGUUAAGUCCCGCAACGAGCGCAACCCUUAAGCUUAGUUGCCAUCAUUAAGUUGGGCACUCUAAGUUGACUGCCGGUGACAAACCGGAGGAAGGUGGGGAUGACGUCAAAUCAUCAUGCCCCUUAUGAUUUGGGCUACACACGUGCUACAAUGGACAAUACAAAGGGUAGCGAAACCGCGAGGUCAAGCAAAUCCCAUAAAGUUGUUCUCAGUUCGGAUUGUAGUCUGCAACUCGACUACAUGAAGCUGGAAUCGCUAGUAAUCGUAGAUCAGCAUGCUACGGUGAAUACGUUCCCGGGUCUUGUACACACCGCCCGUCACACCGCGAGAGUUUGUAACACCCGAAGCCGGUGGAGUAACCUUUUAGGAGCUAGCCGUCGAAGGUGGGACAAAUGAUUNGGGGUGAAGUCGUAACAAGGUAGCCGUAUCGGAAGG